rnacentral:rRNA from 1 species
AAAGGCGAAAAGAACCCCGGCGAGGGGAGUGAAAAAGAACCUGAAACCGUGUACGUACAAGCAGUGGGAGCACGCUUAGGCGUGUGACUGCGUACCUUUUGUAUAAUGGGUCAGCGACUUAUAUUCUGUAGCAAGGUUAACCGAAUAGGGGAGCCGAAGGGAAACCGAGUCUUAACUGGGCGUUAAGUUGCAGGGUAUAGACCCGAAACCCGGUGAUCUAGCCAUGGGCAGGUUGAAGGUUGGGUAACACUAACUGGAGGACCGAACCGACUAAUGUUGAAAAAUUAGCGGAUGACUUGUGGCUGGGGGUGAAAGGCCAAUCAAACCGGGAGAUAGCUGGUUCUCCCCGAAAGCUAUUUAGGUAGCGCCUCGUGAAUUCAUCUCCGGGGGUAGAGCACUGUUUCGGCAAGGGGGUCAUCCCGACUUACCAACCCGAUGCAAACUGCGAAUACCGGAGAAUGUUAUCACGGGAGACACACGGCGGGUGCUAACGUCCGUCGUGAAGAGGGAAACAACCCAGACCGCCAGCUAAGGUCCCAAAGUCAUGGUUAAGUGGGAAACGAUGUGGGAAGGCCCAGACAGCCAGGAUGUUGGCUUAGAAGCAGCCAUCAUUUAAAGAAAGCGUAAUAGCUCACUGGUCGAGUCGGCCUGCGCGGAAGAUGUAACGGGGCUAAACCAUGCACCGAAGCUGCGGCAGCGACGCUUAUGCGUUGUUGGGUAGGGGAGCGUUCUGUAAGCCUGUGAAGGUGUGCUGUGAGG